UUUUUCUCCUUUCCCCCUCCCCCCCUUGUUUUGCUUCUGUGUCUAUAGCUGCAGUAUUUGGGCUUGUCCUCAUUUGCUGCAGCCAAAGACUUUACCACCCUGCUAUUAUCACUGCACUUUCAUUUAUGUUAUAGUGUUAGAAGCUCUACAGAGCAGAUGCAUCUGUAGGUCAGAACUCACCAACAGAUCCCACUUAGUUUAGGGAACAAAUCUGGGUCCUAGAUAGCUGCUGUGCAGGAGGAAGGCUGCUGCAGAGCAGAGGAUGUGAGCAUUCUUCGUGCAGCUUAAGAACUGCACGCACACGCACACACACAGCUCCAAGUCUCCACAGCCUAGUGGAAGAUCACACCUCAUAAACUCACUUUUCUUAUACUCCCAGGAACAAGGAAGAAAUCCCUUCACUACUUCCCUAGAAAGUUACAAAAUAUCAAAGUAAUCGAAGCAAACCACUUGAGCCAGACCAAAUUCUUAAACAUACAUUGGAAAACAUUUAUUAAAAAACAAGCCAAUGCCUCACUUCUCCACUUCCUCUCAUUUAUUUUCUGCUCUCUCUGGAAUCCCCCAGACACUAGAUGGUUUCUUCUUCCUUCUCCCUAUCUGUCUGCUCCACCUGCUAUGGAGUGAUCUCCAAAUUUAAGAGAAAUGGAAACCACUCUUUCUUUUUAAAAACCAACAAACAUUCACCUGCAGCUGCCUUGCAUUCCUGCCUCACACCAGUGGUACGGUACGUCUUCAGGCCAGCAACAAGGUGAGUUGCACUGGACAACCCCUGCCUCCUUCAUUGGCCUCGUGUAGCACAAUGAAACCCUGCUGCCCUGUUUAGUAUUCAAAGUGUAUGGCAGCCUAAUGGGGGAUUGACACAGCACCACCUCAGCGACCUGAGGUAUUGAUAGCAGCUUCUCUUCUCCCCCUGACUCACAUCACUCCACGCAGAAGCCUUACCCAAGACGCAGAACUGAACUCCUGCGUGCCCAUCCCAUUUCACUGCUCCUUCCCCUUACUGCACCUUUUAAAAAAGACAGUAACUUUCUCCUAUUUACUCUUCUUGUACAUAGGAAAUGCAUACAGUGCUGAGAAGCUAAUAAAAGCAGAUUUCUGCAGAACUUCAAAGCAAAGAGGUUUUGUCUAGCGGGGGGGGGGAGGGGGAGGAACAACAACAAAACAGUGAGUUUUGUAAUAAAAGUAAUAGAUAAAGGGCUUUUGGACAAUUUCAAGGAAAUGAAGUAGGCUGUCCUCUAGGGCUCAUGCUGAACCUUUAUCUACCCAUCAUUUGUUUGAUUCACACAGAUAUUUAUACUUCUCCUGUACUUCUCACUCCUCCAAGUGAGUGUAACAAGGAAUCCUGCAGCUGGAUGGUUCCUUGUUGCUACUUUUUCCAACAAAGCUUGGCUCUUAUCACCUCAUCCUAUUGAGAAAAGCCUGUCUUUAGUAAAAAGCAUAUGGCUGCCUGAUCUGAAAAGGAAAAAAAAGAACUAUUAACCAUCCUUGUACAACUCUGAGUGCUAACGUUAUCUCUGUGUGUACAGUGGCAGGCUUCCAUGUGAAGAGCAGCACAGCAGCAGCUGGCACCGCUGCUCUGGUCAAAUGCAGAUUAGACAGCUCGGUCUAUUCUGAACCCUCAGUUCCCACAUAUCUCACGAGGUCCCUGGGAGGCUCAGAGAAGAACCUCUUGGAAAUCCAUGAAAUCCAGCAACUCCUUCACCACACUGUGAGGAGGAACAAGCAUUCAGCAGCAAUGGCUCAUUUUUGUCCAUAGCCUUAGCUGUGUUGUGAUGACAGGAAAAGGGGAAGUAAUUCUUAGAGGUGAGGAGCUGUUUCAGGAUGAGGAAGAGUUUCCUAUCUGAAAAGUGUGUUUUGUUCCUGGCCACACAGCUUGCCAGCAACCACCUGCAUCUUACUGAGCACUGCAGCACCACUGAGUGUCUGAGAACAGUGCAUGGAGACCACCCGCACCCACUGGUGAGUUCCCAUUGCUCUGGUGCGCUCUGUCAUUGCCAUAGCCAAAAAACCUGACCCUAAUUAGGGACAAUCAUACACAUUCUGUCAUUCUGGUGUUUUCUUCUGUCUUAAAUAAAGAACCUCCUGAAAAGAAAAGGGAAUGAAAACCCCUACCAACUGAAGUAAGAAUAUAUACUUCAAGACAAUGUCAAGGUGACCAACAAAAAGAAGAAAACACAGUUCUUUUACUUCGUUCAUUCCUUUUCUUCCCCCCCCCCCUUGGCAAUUUUUGCUACUUAAAUACUUAGGAAAGCUACAGAGAUAUUUUGGAACACUGCUUAUUUUUAAAAAAAUAUUAGGGAUAGCAUACACUUCCCUCUUCUGCUAGAGAACUGCUCAGCUCUCAUCUGGAAUUGGGAACUGAAACUGUCAAGCAGCAAAGCUGAAAUGCUUGUCAAAGCAAAAGAAGAGAGCAGUCCUGUCUUUCAAUUGCUCCAGCUUUCCGUUUCCAUUGUUUUUAUAUUACCCAUUUAAUUCUUGGAGCAGUCUUUCCAAAACCACCCACACCCAAACAUGGCACAAGAAGUUCAUGUAGAGCUUGUCCAUGUGAACUGUAAGGCGUCACCCAGAUUAGAGGGAUUCAGAUGUGAGCCGCCAACCCAAUGCAUCAAAAAGUAGAUAAGAGGCAUUAAAAUCAGCAAACAUCUGGAGUCUGUGGCUGCAGGAUGAGCAACCAGAGUUGUUUUUAGUUGUGGUUUUUUUUUUCCAAUUGUUGAAGUUUCCUACUGAAUUACUCCGUUAACCUGAACUGAGAUGUGGUUCUUUCGUAGAUUAUUGACAGGGAUUGUCCAGGUGGUACCUUCAUCUGUCAUCAACAGCAAACAGAAGCAUAGCACUACCAUGCGAAUCUUCAUAUUUCAUCACAAGCCAAUACGUACCUUCCUAAACUUGAUUUUUCCAGCUUUUCUUGUCUUUUCUUAGUCUCUUCUCCUUCCAAGGAAAUUUUUUGCUUACCUAUGCAUGUUUCACUAAGAACAGUUA